rnacentral:rRNA from 1 species
UACGUAGGGCGCAAGCGUUGUCCGGAAUUAUUGGGCGUAAAGAGCUCGUAGGCGGUUUGUCGCGUCUGCUGUGAAAACCUAAGGCUCAACCUUGGGCUUGCAGUGGGUACGGGCAGACUAGAGUGCGGUAGGGGUGACUGGAAUUCCUGGUGUAGCGGUGGAAUGCGCAGAUAUCAGGAGGAACACCAUGGCGAAGGCAGCUCGCUGGGACGUUACUGACGCUGGAGAACGCGAAAGCGUGGGGGAGCAAACAGG